ACGGGUGUGUUUUUUCCAAGUGACUCAGAUUGUCUAAAAGACAUUUUGUAUCCUCAGUGAGUUGUAAAGCCAACUACAGACCUUCCAGGAGUGGUUAAGGUCCUAAAGGAGAAUUCUGACUCUGAAAUUCAGAAGAAUGAGAGGCAUUUGGCAGUUAAGUCUGUGGGGCUGCAGCCCAGAAAGCUUGCAUCAAGAGUUCUGUUUCUAGUGGCCAGCUUUGAUAGUGUGGUACUUACUGGGCAGUACUCAGCUCUGGAGGGAGAAAAGCAUGGCAUCUGUAUCUGGUACAAAUAGGCUGUUUGAAGCAGCUGGAUUGGGCUAACAGCACUGGUAGCCAGGAGAGGAAGAAAAGGAGAGAAAGCUUACAGAUUUUUGUGAGGAUACCCUACAAUGCUUCGAAGAAAAAAUGGUGAUAAACUAAAUUAUAAUACUCAUUGGUCAGAAUUCUUCCAGGUCAGAAUUAUGAAUGAAGUAUCAAUGAUGCAAAGAACUGUGAGGCUGCAAAGUUACCAGCUGCUGUUCAGGUUCCUCAAAGGUGUCCAUGCUCCACGGAGGAUGCCACAGCAAGCCUUGCAAUUAUAGGAGUGCAUCCAACACGUGCGGUGGAAAAAGAGGCUCUUCUCAGUGCUCUUUGUGGAUGAGUAGGAGUGAUGCUGAUUCCCACAACAGGAUGAAAAUGCUAACGACGCAGUGCUUAAAAAAAAGGAGAAUGAGAACUUGCAGAAAUGAGGCUGGCACAGGGAGGCCACCCAGCCCACCUGCCCCAUUUCCCGUGGGAGUCUCUGCUGGAAAACAGUGCUUCCCCGGAGGACAGCAAUGCAGCAAACACCAUCAGCACCUCUUUCAGUUUUGUCAAGUUAGUGGGUUAAUGAGUUGGUAGGAAUCACUACAAACAUGCAGAGGAACAAAAGAGGGAUGAAGACAAAGAACAAACAUUAUAAGGGAAACAGAUUAAUAAAAGAAGCUUGGCCACACUACCUCCCCAUAAGCGACUGCCGUUUGUGUUAUCACAGUGCUGAAGGAGAGCUGGGAGUGAGCUGUCAGCAGAUGGUAAGCAGCAACUCUGGCAGGUCUGCAAAUGAGGGAAUUUCCCUGCCUGAGCCAGUGGGAUCAAGUACUCAUCUUUGCUGGAUUGCUCUUUACAAGUCAAGAGAGCCCAUCAGGUCAAAACAUGUGCUUCACCGUGGCUGGCCUAAAGAGAAAAGCUUUUUUCUCCUGUGAAACACAGACUUUUCUCUGUUCCACUUAAUAGGUACUCUCCAGGAGAUGCAAAGAAAUACAUCUAAAAAAAACAAACCCAGGGCUCAUCUACUUUUCUAGUUUUCAGUCACCCUACCAAAGUGGUGCUUCUGUUCUGCAAACAAACUGGGUGUGAGCGCACUAACGCAUGCACAGACCUCAUUGUAAUCACUUCUUCCUACCAGCUUCUCUGUCUGCUCCCUUUGCUACACACAGUGGAGAGACAGAAGAGAGUGGUUCGUGUAUAAAACUCCACAGGGAUUCUCUGGCUCUUUCUUUUCUCGUUUUGUGGCUUUGCAGCAUACAGG
ensembl:lncRNA